rnacentral:rRNA from 1 species
GACGAACGCUGGCGGCGUGCCUAAUACAUGCAAGUCGAGCGAAUCUCAGGGAGCUUGCUCCCUGAGAUUAGCGGCGGACGGGUGAGUAACACGUGGGUAACCUGCCUGUAAGACUGGGAUAACUUCGGGAAACCGGAGCUAAUACCGGAUAGGUUCUUCCCUCACAUGAGGGAAGCGGGAAAGACGGUUUCGGCUGUCAACUAAGGAUGGGCACGCGGCGCAUGAGCUAGUUGGUGGGGGAACGGCUCACCAAGGCGACGAUGCGUAGCCGACAUGAGAGGGUGAUCGGCCACACUGGGACUGAGACACGGCCCAGACUCCUACGGGAGGCAGCAGUAGGGAAUCUUCCGCAAUGGACGAAAGUCUGACGGAGCAACGCCGCGUGAGUGAAGAAGGUUUUCGGAUCGUAAAACUCUGUUGUCAGGGAAGAACAAGUACCAUAGUAACUGAUGGUACCUUGACGGUACCUGACCAGAAAGCCACGGCUAACUACGUGCCAGCCGCCGCUGUAAUAC